UAACAAUGCACCCGGGGCCCAUGCCCUCUGAAAUCAAUGACUCUGUUGCCCUUGACUCCAGAGGGACGGCAGGAUCGGGCCCUUCGGGGCUGUUUCUCUCUAGACUUACACCCCUCCCAGGGGUUCGAUACAGUUUGCAGCACUGAUCCAAACCAAGUUUCCAUUCAUCUUCCGGAUCCAAGAUCGUUUCUUUGCGGGAAAAAAAAAUUACAACAUUGUGACACGUCAGCAGCAUGGUGUGGCCGCGCGUGCUCCAAAGCGAGACACCGGCAUGUUCGUGAGGAUGAUUUUGGCUGCAUAGGUGCUGUCGAAAAGUCACGCAGAAAAAGUGACUCUGGGGUUUAAAGGUGGCAGCCCACACAAGCCAAAGGGUGCAGGGACUGGUGAGCAGAGGCUGCCCCUAGGAUGCUCAGUGAGAAAGAGGGGUCCCUGCUGGUGAUGCCUGUAUAACAACGAAGCCCCUUGCUGAACCCUGAGUCCGAGGAAGGGGAGUGGACGAGGCGCUGAAUCCAAACAAAAGGGCGAGUGAUUCGGCUGCGCUAGUUACAUUGUUCCAGCCGAAGGGACAAAAAAUUAGCAGAAAAGGAAUGGCAUAACAAUCACACGGGUCUGAGAUAGCAGAUGAUCGAGUUGGUGAAAAGAAGAACGAGACGCCUCAGCUCCCUCAUCUGUCUGUCUGUCUGUCUGCAUCAUUUGCACCUGGAGUAAAACUCCAGGGCCUCCACAUAAGCAUUACAAAGAAAAUAUAAAUGGGAAAUCAAGGGACAGGGCUCUGUGUUUGCUGUCUAACUAUCGUGAUUUAUCCAGGUAGCACACAGUUUAUGGUCAAUAAAUUAUAUUAGCAACCAACAUCCAGAUCAGCUCUCCUGGCCUGAUCAUCAAAACAAGCAGCUAGAAACCGGAACGGCUUUUCCAACAUCUUCUGACCCCAGUUCCCUGAUGGAGGGGUGGUUCGACCUUCCACUGCACCCCACCCUUGUGAAUGGCGCCUACACGCUGUCUUUUCCCUUUGCGAUCAUGCUGGGCUUUGAGUUUUAUUUCCUUCUUAGCCAGAGGAAAUGUGACAACUUUAAACAUUAAGGGCUGGGAGCGGCAGCCACUUAAUCCAGUAGUAAAUUUGACUCCCAAUGUGGUUUCACGAAUCGAAAAAUUCUCAUCCGCCUGAUUGGAGCUAGUGAU